rnacentral:rRNA from 1 species
GCGUGAGAACAUGCCUUUAGAUUGGGACAACAGUUGGAAACGACUGCUAAUACCGAAUGUGCCUAAGGGUGAAAGAUUUAUUUGCUAGAGAUUGGCUCGCGUCAGAUUAGCUAGUUGGAGUGGUAUCCGCACACCAAGGCGACGAUCUGUACUUGGUCUGAGAGGAUGACCAGGCACACUGGAACUGAGACACGGUCCAGACUCCUACGGGAGGCAGCAGUGGGGAAUUUUCCGCAAUGGGCGCAAGCCUGACGGAGCAAUACCGCGUGAGGGAGGACGGCUUUUGGGUUGUAAACCUCUUUUAUCAGGGAAGAAUCGAUGACGGUACCUGAUGAAUCAGCAUCGGCUAACUCCGUGCCAGCAGGCGCGGUAAUACGGAGGAUGCAAGCGUUAUCCGGAAUUAUUGGGCGUUAAGCGUCCGUA